AUUGAACGCUGGCGGCAUGCCUUACACAUGCAAGUCGAACGGUAACAGGUCUUCGGAUGCUGACGGGUGGCGAACGGGUGAGUAAUACAUCGGAACGUGCCCGAUCGUGGGGGAUAACGAAGCGAAAGCUUUGCUAAUACCGCAUACGAUCUAAGGAUGAAAGCAGGGGACCGCAAGGCCUUGCGCGAACGGAGCGGCCGAUGGCAGAUUAGGUAGUUGGUGGGAUAAAAGCUUACCAAGCCGACGAUCUGUAGCUGGUCUGAGAGGACGACCAGCCACACUGGGACUGAGACACGGCCCAGACUCCUACGGGAGGCAGCAGUGGGGAAUUUUGGACAAUGGGCGAAAGCCUGAUCCAGCAAUGCCGCGUGCAGGAUGAAGGCCUUCGGGUUGUAAACUGCUUUUGUACGGAACGAAAAGCCCCGGGUUAAUACCCUGGGGUCAUGACGGUACCGUAAGAAUAAGCACCGGCUAACUACGUGCCAGCAGCCGCCGUAA
rnacentral:rRNA from 1 species